GAAUUCGCCCUUAGAGUUUGAUCCUGGCUCAGGACGAACGCUGGCGGCGCGCCUAACACAUGCAAGUCGAACGAGAGAUGAGGAGCUUGCUCUUCAAAUCGAGUGGCGAACGGGUGAGUAACGCGUGAGGAACCUGCCUCAAAGAGGGGGGACAACAGUUGGAAACGACUGCUAAUACCGCAUAAGCCCACAGCUCGGCAUCGAGCAGAGGGAAAAGGAGCAAUCCGCUUUGAGAUGGCCUCGCGUCCGAUUAGCUAGUUGGUGAGGUAAUGGCCCACCAAGGCGACGAUCGGUAGCCGGACUGAGAGGUUGAACGGCCACAUUGGGACUGAGACACGGCCCAGACUCCUACGGGAGGCAGCAGUGGGGAAUAUUGCACAAUGGGGGAAACCCUGAUGCAGCGACGCCGCGUGGAGGAAGAAGGUCUUCGGAUUGUAAACUCCUGUUGUUGAGGAAGAUAAUGACGGUACUCAACAAGGAAGUGACGGCUAACUACGUGCCAGCAGCCGCGGUAAAACGUAGGUCACAAGCGUUGUCCGGAAUUACUGGGUGUAAAGGGAGCGCAGGCGGGAGAACAAGUUGGAAGUGAAAUCCAUGGGCUCAACCCAUGAACUGCUUUCAAAACUGUUUUUCUUGAGUAGUGCAGAGGUAGGCGGAAUUCCCGGUGUAGCGGUGGAAUGCGUAGAUAUCGGGAGGAACACCAGUGGCGAAGGCGGCCUACUGGGCACCAACUGACGCUGAGGCUCGAAAGUGUGGGUAUCAAACAGGAUUAGAUACCCUGGUAGUCCACACAGUAAACGAUGAAUACUAGGGGUCGGGGCCGUAGAGGCUUCGGUGCCGCAG
rnacentral:rRNA from 1 species